rnacentral:rRNA from 1 species
GCCAUGCCGCGUGUGUGAAGAAGGCCUUCGGGUUGUAAAGCACUUUCAGUCGUGAGGAAGGUGGUGGUGUUAAUAGCACUAUCAUUUGACGUUAGCGACAGAAGAAGCACCGGCUAACUCCGUGCCAGCAGCCGCGGUAAUACGGAGGGUGCGAGCGUUAAUCGGAAUUACUGGGCGUAAAGCGCAUGCAGGUGGUUUGUUAAGUCAGAUGUGAAAGCCCGGGGCUCAACCUCGGAAUAGCAUUUGAAACUGGCAGACUAGAGUACUGUAGAGGGGGGUAGAAUUUCAGGUGUAGCGGUGAAAUGCGUAGAGAUCUGAAGGAAUACCGGUGGCGAAGGCGGCCCCCUGGACAGAUACUGACACUCAGAUGCGAAAGCGUGGGGAGCAAACAGGAUUAGAUACCCUGGUAGUCCACGCCGUAAACGAUGUCUACUUGGAGGUUGUGGCCUUGAGCCGUGGCUUUCGGAGCUAACGCGUUAAGUAGACCGCCUG